rnacentral:rRNA from 1 species
CUCCUACGGGGGGCAGCAGUGGGGAAUAUUGCACAAUGGGGGAAACCCUGAUGCAGCAACGCCGCGUGAGUGAAGAAGUAUUUCGGUAUGUAAAGCUCUAUUAGCAGGGAAGAAGAAAGACGGUACCUCUUGAAUAAGCCACGGCUAACUACGUGCCAGCAGCCGCGGUAAUACGUAGGUGGCAAGCGUUGUCCGGAUUUACUGGGUGUAAAGGGCGUGUAGCCGGGCUGACAAGUCAGAUGUGAAAUUCCGGGGCUCAACCCCGGACCUGCAUUUGAAACUGUUGGUCUUGAGUAUCGGAGAGG